CUGAAUCUCUUUCAACGAUUUUUGUUGUGUAGUAUUGCAUGAAAAAUUGGCAAGUUAAGGAAUCGCGAUUGGUUCUGACGAUAUGACGUGGAUUUUGAAUCAAAAGCUGUGAUUUGAUACAACUGAGCUGUAUUGGGUUAUUCAAUCGUAUUCUUUUUAGCACAAUCUAGGCUUCUUUAUUUUAUUUUUUCCUUUUUAUGCUUUCCUUUCUCGAAACAGGCUCUCGUUUGGUCCGCUAUACAAUAAAUUGAAAAAUUAAAUCAAAUCGCCAUAGAAAAGAAAAGACCAGAUGGGCUCAUAUUGAUUUAUCUCUCCGGGGUUUUAUUUGAUUUACGUUUUAUACAUUUUCUUUUGAGGGUGAAGUUGAUUGGUAGCCAUGAAAAGGCAAGGAGGAUCUGAUCCAUUUAUCCAGAAGUUAUGGGAUACUAACAGAGAUUAUGGUGCUUUUCUUUUGUUUUUUCCUUUUUCUGCCAUUUUGGGAAGCUUAGUUUGGUGACCUUUCCUUUAUUUAUUUUUAUUUGUGUCGGAGACUGAUUGAUUAUAGGUAAUGAAAAGGU
rnacentral:lncRNA from 1 species